UGCAUCGGCCGGGAAUCGAACCCGGGCCGCCCAGGUGGCAGGCAAGCAUUCUACCACUGAACCACCGAUGG
rnacentral:tRNA from 1 species